AUCAUAUGGUAACUCUAUUUUUAGUUUUUGAGGACCCUUUAUGCUGUUCUCCAUAGUGGCUGGACUAACCAUGUUUUCCUUUAGUAGUUUUAUAGUUUGAGGCACUAUAUUUUAUUUCUAAAUUUAUUUCUAAGAUGGUCCAAUUACUAUAGGAAGUUAGUUUGAGAUGAAUUAUUACUAUGACAGUAAGAAAGUUUUCAUAGAUUAAAAUAUACAUAAUUGACAUUCGUUCUUUUUCCUUUUACAACUAGUAGGUGUUGUUUAAUAAGAAUAGCUUCUAUAAGCGUUGUUCUUUUAUUCC
rnacentral:lncRNA from 1 species